CCUGCCCUUUAGACCGGGGACAACAUUCCGAAAGGGAUGCUAAUACCGGAUGUGAUCCAUUUCCCGCAUGGGAGAGGGAUGAAAGAUGGCCUCUAUUAUAAGCCAUCGCUAGAAGAUGGGCCUGCGUCUGAUUAGCUAGUUGGUGGGGUAACGGCUCACCAAGGCGAUGAUCAGUAGCCGGUCUGAGAGGAUGAACGGCCACAUUGGGACUGAGACACGGCCCAGACUCCUACGGGAGGCAGCAGUGGGGAAUCUUCCGCAAUGGGCGAAAGCCUGACGGAGCAACGCCGCGUGAGUGAAGAAGGUCUUCGGAUCGUAAAGCUCUGUUGUCGGGGACGAAGGGGCAGAUCAGGAAAUGGGUCUGCUUAGACGGUACCUGACGAGGAAGCCACGGCUAACUACGUGCCAGCAGCCGCGGUAAUACGUAGGCGGCAAGCGUUGUCCGGAAUCAUUGGGCGUAAAGGGAGCGCAGGUGGGACGGUAAGUCUUUCUUAAAAGUGCGGGGCUCACCCCCGUGAGGGGAAAGAAACUAUCGUUCUUGAGUGCAGGAGAGGAAAGCGGAAUUCCUAGUGUAGCGGUGAAAUGCGUAGAUAUUAGGAAGAACACCAGUGGCGAAGGCGGCUUUCUGGACUGUAACUGACACUGAGGCUCGAAAGCCAGGGGAGCGAACGGGAUUAGAUACCUCGGUAGUCCUGGCCGUAAACGAUGGAUACUA
rnacentral:rRNA from 1 species